rnacentral:lncRNA from 1 species
UGGAAGAGAAGAGGGGAGAGGGGAGAAGAAACAAUGGCUUCCUCCUUUCUCAAAGUGAAAACGACUCUAGAAGUGUUUUUUGAGAAAGAGGGGGCUAAGGUUUCUCUUGGCUCAAUCUUGGCUCAAAUUCAUGUCAGUUUUGGUUGUGCUCACAUUUUACCACAUGUUUUGCAUAUUGUCUUCACCUUGACAAGACAAUUUGCCGACUAUCAGGGGAGAGAAAUGACAGUUAUUCAAG